UGAGUUUCCAAACCAUUUAUUUUAUUAACUAUGAACCAAAUGAGCUACAGAGGCCAGUUGUUGACCUCUAACUACAACUUCAUGUGUAAAUACUAGCUAAGGGUUUUGCCUUGUGUAGGUCAUGGGUAAAUAUCAAUAUUUUGUUGGCGGCAUUCGAUUGAUUAAUAGUUGAAGAGCAGGGACGUCGCAAAGGCAUCAACAUUACAUUUUGACCAACAUUUGAUAGAAUUUUGACCAAGUCGUAAUUUUUCCGGACUAAUAAAAGCAUAUUUAAAAAUUUUUCGACCGAAAUA